rnacentral:rRNA from 1 species
GGAUGACUUGUGGCUAGGGGUGAAAGGCCAAUCAAACUUGGAAAUAGCUGGUUCUCUCCGAAAACUAUUUAGGUAGUGCCUCAAGUAUUACCUGCGGGGGUAGAGCACUGUUUAGGCUAGGGGGUCAUGGCGACUUACCAAACCUAUGCAAACUCCGAAUACCGCAGAGUACAGCUUGGGAGACAGAGCACCGGGUGCUAACGUCCGGACUCAAGAGGGAAACAACCCAGACCGCCAGCUAAGGUCCCAAAAUAUUGCUAAGUGGGAAACGAUGUGGGAAGGCAUAGACAGCUAGGAGGUUGGCUUAGAAGCAGCCAUCCUUUAAAGAUAGCGUAACAGCUCACUGGUCUAAAUAAGGGUUCUUGCGCCGAAAAUGUAACGGGGCUAAAGCCAUGCACCGAAACUGAGGGCACUAUUUAUAGUGCGGUAGCAGAGCGUUCUGUAAGCCUGCGAAGGGAUACUCGUGAGAGAUCCUGGAGGUAUCAGAAGUGCAAAUGUUGACAUGAGUAACGAUAAAGAGGGUGAGAGACCCUCUCGCCGAAAGACCAAGGGUUCCUGCUUAAAGUUAAUCUGAGCAGGGUUAGCCGGCUCCUAAGGCGAGGCCGAAAGGCGUAGUCGAUGGGAAUGCAGUUAAUAUUCUGCAGCCUGGUGGUAGUGACGGAUCUCGUAAAUUGUACAUCCUUAUUGGAUUGGUUGUGCAGUGAAGAGGUUCCAGGAAAUAGCUCCACCAUAUAGACCGUACCCCAAACCGACACAGGUCGUCAGGUAGAGAAUACUAAGGCGCUUGAGAGAACUAUGUUGAAGGAACUCGGCAAAUUGCACGCGUAACUUCGGAAGAAGCGUGACCUGUAUUUACGCAAGUAGAUAUAGGUGGCACAGACCAGGGGGUAGCGACUGUUUAUCAAAAACACAGGGCUCUGCGAAGC